UGGCAGUGGAGGUGAGGGGAUCUUGCUGGAGAUCUCUGUGUAUGUGAGGCUUUUUGAAGACUCCCGGUUUCCACAGCAACAAGACACACAGCUCUCUGCGGAGUGCGGGGCUAUAAAUAAACCCCGGAUCUAUAGUUGUGAUAUUAGCUACGAGGGCUUUGAGGAAUCGCAUGUGGCGAUGAAGAGAAUGGCUCGGUGCUGAAAGGAAACACGUUUAAUGAGGAAAUGAUGGUUCCCUGCUCGGUUUGGAUGGUGGCUUUGAACAAAGGAAAACCACAAAGCACAGCGCCCGACUGAGCUGGUUAGUGCAAUUCCAACCAAAAGCCGAGAGGGGAGGGAUGUGAUAUGAAAACACCCCGAGGAAUGUCACUGGAAUAUUCAAGUAAACGCUUCCAGACUUCAUUUUCCAGAUGUAAAGCUAUUUGGCUGCAGCAAAGUCCAAAUCAAUGCUGUGGAAGGGCUGAUUCCAACAUCGGAUCUGGGAUGCCAGCUGCACUCUGGGAGCUGUGCACCCAUCCUGUGCUGCUCAAGCUGUUGGGAGGGCACCCAUGGGGGACUGGAUCCGUGGCAAGGAGCUGUGCCAGCUCUAGGACAAGGAAAGGGAAAGUGAUUGCAACAUGAUCUUGUUUUGGGGGAGAGUCACCCACAUGGGACUUUCCUUGGUUGGGCAGAUGAAUGUAGGGGGGAAUUCAGAGCGGGAGUCAAAGGGGAAUGGCAGGGCUGUGAUUGGGGUGGUGGGAAGGCGGAGGCAGGGAAAACCGAGGAUGUU